UUUGACCUACGGGAGGCAGCAGUGGGGAAUAUUGCACAAUGGGGGAAACCCUGAUGCAGCGACGCCGCGUGGGCGAGGAAGUACCUCGGUAUGUAAAGCCCUCUCAGCAGGGAAGAAACAGGACAGUACCUGACUAAGAAGCCCCGGCUAACUACGUGCCAGCAGCCGCGGUAAUACGUAGGGGGCAAGCGUUAUCCGGAUUUACUGGGUGUAAAGGGUGCGUAGGUGGCAGGGCAAGUCAGAUGUGAAAGCCCGGGGCUCAACCCCGGUACUGCAUUUGAAACUGUCCAGCUGGAGUGCAGGAG
rnacentral:rRNA from 1 species